AAACCCUAAACCAUAAACCCUAAACCAUAAACCAUAAACCCUAAACCGUAAACACUAAUACUUAAACCCUAAACCGUAAACACUUGGGUUGCCAUCAAACCAAGUGCUUAUAUACGGAUCAGUUUACACUUGUUACUACCGUGGUUUUUAAAUAAAGUUAUCAUAACCCAUCCAACAACAACCGGAUUUCCAUUCAGAUAACCGGUUACGUUUCUGUUUAUAAGGUCAACUUGUACUAUAUCCGGGUAGUGGAAGUUAUCUAACCGGUAUCGAAUAAUAUUUUUAGGACAAUUACUUAUGUGACAGUACGGAUAUACCCUAAACCCUAAAACCUAA
rnacentral:lncRNA from 1 species